AUGUCUUAUUGUAUUGACUUGCUGUUUUGUUGUGUGUAAGGCAGUGCAACUAGAACAUCACCAAGGGGAGAUGAUACAAGUGUUUGGUAGGGUACAAAACAAUGUUGGACUAUUGCUUUCUUGAAAUAUAUUUUUAUUUAUGCAAUUAAACAAUAAAACCACAGCAUGCAUCAAUCAGACUAUGUUCAUUGAAUACAAGAAAUGAAUAACAAUUUGUACUUGCACUAGUUUGUUUGGUUGUCCAUGACCUCUGAAUGUUUUAAUGCUGGAAUGAUAGUUUACUACCCAUGGAUGCAAUUAGUGAGCAGUUCCUGUAGUGACAAGUUGGACAGAACCAGAUCAAAAACUUCAGUUUGGCCUUUGGUUUUUACAAUAACAAAUAGAUAGUGAAAUUAAAAAAAAAUGUGAAUGAUUAUUAAAGUCUGCCUUCUGUUUGAAGGCAAACAUUGUUCUCAGCUGUUAGUGUAGGUCAGAAUUAGAAAAAAGAAAGGAGUACAUUUGUUCAAAACCAAAUAAAUACUGUAGGUACCAAAAAAUGUCAUCAACACACUCUUUGUUUUUAAAGUGAUGAUUAAACAAAAAUAAUAGGGACUCCAAGAAAGCAAGCUGUUGCUUUUAAAAACUUAAGCAUCUGGAAAUAAAAUACAACUUUAGAUGAAUACAAAAAAUGUACAUUAGCAAAGUCAGACCAAAAUUAAAUAGUUUCCUAUGUCUAUGUUGAACUAACAAUUUAGGCUGGCCCCUAACAAAACACACCCUUUUCAGAAAAAACAGAGAUCUAAAUAGUUUUUUUUGAAGAGUUAGUAACCCCCCCCCCCC